GAUGAACGCUGGCGGCGUGCUUAACACAUGCAAGUCGAACGGAAAGGCUCCUGCUUGCAGGGGUACUCGAGUGGCGAACGGGUGAGUAACACGUGGGUGAUCUGCCCUGCACUUCGGGAUAAGCCUGGGAAACUGGGUCUAAUACCGGAUAGGACGAUGGUUUGGAUGCCAUUGUGGAAAGUUUUUCGGUGUGGGAUGAGCUCGCGGCCUAUCAGCUUGUUGGUGGGGUAAUGGCCUACCAAGGCGUCGACGGGUAGCCGGCCUGAGAGGGUGUACGGCCACAUUGGGACUGAGAUACGGCCCAGACUCCUACGGGAGGCAGCAGUGGGGAAUAUUGCACAAUGGGCGCAAGCCUGAUGCAGCGACGCCGCGUGGGGGAUGACGGCCUUCGGGUUGUAAAUUCCUUUCGUCAGGGACGAAGCGAAAGUGACGGUACCUGGAUAAGAAGCACCGGCUAACUACGUG
rnacentral:rRNA from 1 species